GAUGAACGCUGGCGGCGUGCCUAAUACAUGCAAGUCGAGCGAACAGACGAGGAGCUUGCUCCUCUGACGUUAGCGGCGGACGGGUGAGUAACACGUGGAUAACCUACCUAUAAGACUGGGAUAACUUCGGGAAACCGGAGCUAAUACCGGAUAAUAUAUUGAACCGCAUGGUUCAAUAGUGAAAGACGGUUUUGCUGUCACUUAUAGAUGGAUCCGCGCCGCAUUAGCUAGUUGGUAAGGUAACGGCUUACCAAGGCAACGAUGCGUAGCCGACCUGAGAGGGUGAUCGGCCACCCUGGAACUGAGACACGGUCCAGACUCCUACGGGAGGCAGCAGUAGGGAAUCUUCCGCAAUGGGCGAAAGCUUGACGGAGGAGCGCCGCGUGAGUGAUGAAGGUCUUCGGAUCGUAAAACUCUGUUAUUAGGGAAGAACAAAUGUGUAAGUAACUAUGCACGUCUUGACGGUACCUAAUCAGAAAGCCACGGCUAACUACGUG
rnacentral:rRNA from 1 species